GCCAACAGGAGCUGGUAAUCAGGAUGGCAGUGAGGCAGGCACUUGCUUGCAGAAGAACAGGCCUAGUUUUUUAAGAAGCCACAAAAGUGUCUUUGGAUGAUUAGGAUCUAAGGGGCCAACAGCUUUGCAAUAACAGCAUAAAUAUUGUGGGCUGGAUGGACAGGCACCAAAUGGGGACAUUCCAUCCUGCUGUGUGAUGAGAAAGCUGCCACUUUUGAGGCCUUCCAAAACAAAUCAACACUCCAUAUGCCAGAAGGAAAAGCCCAGGAAAGACCUAUUCCAACUGGAGAUGGUGAAUGUCAUUUCUUCAAGAAGCUGAGAUCCAGCUGGUACUGCCAGGUGGAGAGUGAGUUGGGAAUACGAAGGGAGAAUGAAACAAAACUGCUCCGCUUAGGGAACUUGGAAAGGAAAUUGAAAAGGCAAGGCACAGGCUGGAAGAAAAUAUUUGAAAAAGAUUUAUGUGAACUUCUUUCUGGAUUAUACAAAAUAUUUUUAGAUAUUCUUACAACUCUAAAAUAAGAUAACUCCUUAAAAAUCUAAAUUCUACCAAAGGAGAGAUAAAGAUGACGAAUACAUUCAAAGAUGCUGAAAAUCACUUAUUUAUUAUUAGGAAGUUACAAGCUAAAGCAUAAUGAGAUACCACUACAACCUACUAAACUGACUAAAAUUAAUCAGACUAACCAGGUGUUGGCAAGAAACAGGG
rnacentral:lncRNA from 1 species